UACGUAGGUGGCAAGCGUUGUCCGGAUUUAUUGGGUUUAAAGGGUGCGUAGGCGGCCCUGUAAGUCAGUGCUGAAAUAUCCCGGCUUAACCGGGAGGGUGGCAUUGAUACUGCGGGGCUAGAGUACAGAUGAGGUAGGCGGAAUUGACGGUGUAGCGGUGAAAUGCUUAGAUAUCGUUUGGAACGCCAAUGGUGAAAACAGGUAACUGGGAGUGUGCCGACGCUGAGAUACGAAAGCCAGGGGAGCGAACGGG
rnacentral:rRNA from 1 species